rnacentral:misc_RNA from 1 species
GAUGAAGAACGCAGCGAAAUGCGAUAAGUAGUGUGAAUUGCAGAAUUCAGUGAAUCAUCGAAUCUUUGAACGCACAUUGCGCCCCUUGGUAUCCCGAGGGGCAUGCCUGUUCGAGCGUCAUUUCACCACUCAAGCCUGGCUUGGUGUUGGACGACGUCCCCUUUGGGGACGCGCCUCGAAACGCUCGGCGGCGUGGCACCGGCUUUAAGCGUAGCAGAAUCUUUCGCUUUGGAAGUCGGGGCCCCGUCUGCCGGAAGACCUACUCGCAAGGUUGACCUCGGAUCAGGCAGGGAUACCCGCUGAACUUAAGCAUAUCAAUAAGCGGAGGA